UUUCCGUAGGUGAAUCUGCGGAAGGAUCAUUCAUAAUAAAGUGUUUUAUGGCACUUUUUAAAAAUCCAUAUCCACCUUGUGUGCAAUGUUAGAUCUCGUCAAUCUUGGCGAGAUUUUUAUACAUCAACUCAUUCUUUAACUAAUUUGUCUGAAAAAUAUUAUGAAUACUUAAUUCAAAAUACAACUUUCAACAACGGAUCUCUUGGCUCUC
rnacentral:misc_RNA from 1 species